rnacentral:rRNA from 1 species
CACGUAGGGGGCAAGCGUUGUCCGGAUUUAUUGGGCGUAAAGAGCUCGUAGGCGGUUUCGUAAGUCGGAUGUGAAAACUCCAGGCUCAACUUGGAGACGCCAUUCGAUACUUCGAUGACUCGAGUCCGGUAGGGGAGUGUGGAAUUCCUGGUGUAGCGGUGAAAUGCGCAGAUAUCAGGAGGAACACCGGCGGCGAAGGCGGCACUCUGGGCCGGUACUGACGCUGAGGAGCGAAAGCGUGGGUAGCAAACAGG